UGUCAGCAACGUCAUAGCCAGUUCCGGCGAAUUGUGUAAGUACCGAUAUUUUUUAUGUCACUACAAGGCAGAAGAUAAUUCAGGGAAAUAAAUUUUAAAGCAAGACAAGUUUUCCAUCAUUAAAGUAGAAUCUAAAAUAAACCUAUGAAAAACUGUGAAGAUUAAAUACAUUGAAUAUAUUAGUGACAGCUAAAAGUAAAUUAAUUUAAUGAAUCUGCUCGAAUCUUUGCCAAAACUUUCAUCACACCGUUUCAUGCUCUGAUAAAUCUUAUUUAUACAGAAAUGUUUCAUUUUGGAUUAUAUAUAGUAUUGUUUACACUAGAUAAUAAAUAAAUAAAUAAAUAAAAGCCUACUGACAUUUUUUUUCUUUUAUUAAGGUCGAGCUAAAUAGUGUUGCUUUGAAAUAUGUGUUUGAAAAACUGAAGAUUCAGAAAAGGAGGUUACUGUGCAUAAAUGAUAAAGUUAGAAGGAAGAAUGUUUCAGAAAUCUAGGCAACCUUGGUGGAUAUGUUUUUAAGAAAUCGAAUGUUAAAGGGCAAGUCGAAGCUAUGGGAAAACAACUACAAUAACAUGAUAGAAAAAAUGCUAUACUGAACUGAUACUGAAAAGUGAAAGAGUUAUUCGAUAUCAGCUCUCUGAUUAUAUUCAUUAAAAUACGCUUGAUGAAACUUCAAAGACACAUGAAGUUCAAAACAUUUCUUGGUGCAGUGCAAAGGAAAAAGAAUCAUCUAAGGUUUUUGGAUUAUAUUUUGUUAAAUUAUAAAGCUUGAAAAAAACUACUUCACAACAGGAAAGCAUCAUGAAUGUAAUCUACACAGUAUUUUUUAAUAUAUUUCUCUAAAAGGAUCAUUUAUUACUCUUGUAUCAAGAUUAAAAGAUAAAAGUUGCCUUUUUA